UACGUAGGGGGCGAGCGUUGUCCGGAUUUAUUGGGCGUAAAGAGCGUGUAGGCGGUUCGGUAAGUCUGUCGUGAAAUCCUGAGGCUCAACCUCGGGCGUGCGAUGGAUACUGCCGGGCUAGAGGGUGGUAGAGGCGAGUGGAAUUCCUGGUGUAGCGGUGAAAUGCGCAGAUAUCAGGAAGAACACCCGUGGCUAAGGCGGUUCUCUAGUACGGUACUGACGCUGAGACGCGAAAGCGUGGGGAGCGAACAGG
rnacentral:rRNA from 1 species